rnacentral:rRNA from 1 species
GACGAACGCUGGCGGCGUGCUUAACACAUGCAAGUCGAACGUGAUUUUUAAGGAAAGCCCUUCGGGGUGGGAAUUGAAAUGAAAGUGGCGAACGGGUGAGUAACACGUGAGCAACCUACCUUACACAGGGGGAUAGCCGUUGGAAACGACGAUUAAUACCGCAUGAGACCACAGAAUCGCAUGAUAUAGGGGUCAAAGAUUUAUCGGUGUAAGAAGGGCUCGCGUCUGAUUAGCUAGUUGGAAGGGUAAAGGCCUACCAAGGCGACGAUCAGUAGCCGGUCUGAGAGGAUGAACGGCCACAUUGGAACUGAGACACGGUCCAAACUCCUACGGGAGGCAGCAGUGGGGAAUAUUGCACAAUGGGGGGAACUCUGAUGCAGCGACGCCGCGUGAGCGAAGAAGGUUUUCGAAUCGUAAAGCUCUGUCCUAUGAGAAGAUAAUGACGGUAUCAUAGGAGGAAGCCCCGGCUAAAUACGUGCCAGGAGCCGCGGUAAUACGUAUGGGGCGAGCGUUGUCCGGAAUUAUUGGGCGUAAAGGGGACGUAGGCGGUUUUUUUUAGUCAGGUGUGAGAAGCGGUGAGGCUUAAGCUCAUUAAGCACUUGAAACUGUAAGACUUGAGUGAAGGAGAGGAAAGUGGAAUUCCUGGGGUACCGUUGAAAUGCGUAGAUUUGAUGAGUGAAUCCGGGGGCGAAUGUGACUUUUGUGGAUUGUGACUGAGUGCAUGACUAAGUGUUGUGUGUUGAGUGUGAUGUUUAUCUCUGGUUGUUGUGGUGGUAUUUUGUUG